rnacentral:rRNA from 1 species
GAUGAACGCUGGCGGCGUGCUUAACACAUGCAAGUCGAACGAGAAGUGAAGACGGAAACCUUCGGGCGGAAGGCUUUAUUUCGAGUGGCGGACGGGUGAGUAACGCGUGGGUAACCUGCCUCAUACAGGGGGAUAACAGUUGGAAACGACUGUUAAUACCGCAUAAGACCACAGCACCGCAUGGUGCGGGGGUAAAAACUCCGGUGGUAUGAGAUGGACCCGCGUUCGAUUAGCCAGUUGGCGGGGUAACGGCCCACCAAAGCGACGAUCGAUAGCCGAUCUGAGAGGAUGACCGGCCACAGUGGGACUGAGACACGGCCCAAACUCCUACGGGAGGCAGCAGUGGGGAAUAUUGCACAAUGGGGGAAACCCUGAUGCAGCGACGCCGCGUGAGUGAAGAAGUAUUUCGGUAUGUAAAGCUCUAUCAGCAGGGAAGAAAAUGACGGUACCUGAGUAAGAAGCCCCGGCUAACUACGUG